rnacentral:rRNA from 1 species
UACGUAGGGACCGAGCGUUGUCCGGAAUCAUUGGGCGUAAAGAGCGUGUAGGCGGCCAACUAAGUCCUGCGUGAAAUCUCGGGGCUCAAACCCCGAGGCGGUCGUCGGGAAACUGGUUGGCUAGAGUGCGGGAGAGGAGGAGUGGAAUUCCUGGUGUAGCGGUGAAAUGCGCAGAUAUCAGGAAGAACACCCGUGGCGAAGGCGGCUCUCUGGAACGCAACUGACGCUGAGACGCGAAAGCGUGGGGAGCAAACAGG